UUUUGCCCCAGAUAGCAGUGGAAAGCUUUGAAGUUUUGAAAUCUAUUUUUUCUUGAGCUGGCAGAGCGACCGCAGUGAGCUCCUGCUGACUCAAUAGAAAAAAAGAUUUCAAGACGAGAACUUGCAACGAAUAGCUGGAAUAGGC
rfam:Flavobacterium fryxellicola strain DSM 16209 FBFR13, whole genome shotgun sequence.